UAACUAUUCUUGCUUGAAUGUUUAGAUACAAAAUGUCGUUUCACAGCUUUGUUAAACACACACUCCAUCUCUUCACUUCCUAUUUGUAUAGCAAAUGUUGGCUGAAUGUCCAGGUGCAGGACAAGCUCUUAAGCAAAAAGUACAGAAGGUGAGUAGAGAACAGCCUUCACCAAAAGCCAAUGUGAGAACAGAGAUUAUGUGUGACCCUACACACACACACACACACACACACACACACACAUUCCUGCGUUGGAGUGUAAUAGACGCUUUCCAAGCUGGUCAUCACAAUUAAAUUUAUGGUCUGUACUGGUGAUGCUGGUUUGGACCCAGACCUAGUCAUGGUUAGAGUACAGAUCCAUUAAGUUAGUUUAAAAAGAAUUAUUAUUUUUUAUCAGACAGCACAGUCCUAACCAUGUCCACUUAGAAAUGAGUUUCAAUAAAUUCAAUUGGACUUACGGACAGGUAAGUGAGGUUAGGAUUGCAACCUUAGUCUGGAUCCAACCUCUUCUGGUGACCGUAAUUGUAAUGUUUUAUUUUUAAAUCUUUAAGAUAGUAUUUUAGUUUUCUGUUAUGUUGCUUUGACUGUAUACUCUAUAUUUGACUUUCUUUAGAUUGUUUUAUUUAUGUUUUAUUUAUUUAAUAUGCUGUAAACUGCUUUGAGAUUUUUCUUAAAAAUAUAAAGCGGUAUAGAAAUUUAAAAAAUAAAUAAAUUGUGAGCCCCUUCUCUGCCCUUUUGAGAAUAAAAACAGCUUACAGCUUAAUAUAUAAAAGCUAUAACUUUUAGAAGGAAAGGCUAUCUCUAAUUUUUUUUCCCCAUUUCAUAUUACAGGAUUAAACUUGAACCAGAACAAAUACAAAACAGCAAUUGCAUGGGAUGCACUUUUUGCAAAUUGAGACAAGAAUACCGCCACAUUUAAUCAAGAAUACUUUAUAUCAGUCACUCCUGUGAACUGGUUAAAGUUUUUAUAGUUUUUGUGAAUUUGAUGCCAGACUUCUGUUGAGUGAUAAUCAGACAACCACCACCAGGCUGAAACCAAUGG